CGUAGGUGGCAAGCGUUGUCCGGAUUUAUUGGGCGUAAAGCGAGCGCAGGCGGUCAAUUAAGUCUGAUGUGAAAGCCCCCGGCUCAACCGGGGAGGGUCAUUGGAAACUGGUUGACUUGAGUGCAGAAGAGGAGAGUGGAAUUCCAUGUGUAGCGGUGAAAUGCGUAGAUAUAUGGAGGAACACCAGUGGCGAAGGCGACUCUCUGGUCUGUAACUGACGCUGAGGCUCGAAAGCGUGGGUAGCAAACAGGAUU
rnacentral:rRNA from 1 species